rnacentral:rRNA from 1 species
AUUGAACGCUGGCGGCAUGCCUUACACAUGCAAGUCGAACGGCAGCAUAGGAGCUUGCUCCUGAUGGCGGGUGGCGAACGGGUGAGUAAUAUAUCGGAACGUGCCCUAGAGUGGGGGAUAACUAGUCGAAAGAUUAGCUAAUACCGCAUACGAUCUACGGAUGAAAGUGGGGGAUCGCAAGACCUCAUGCUCCUGGAGCGGCCGAUAUCUGAUUAGCUAGUUGGUGGGGUAAAAGCCUACCAAGGCGACGAUCAGUAGCUGGUCUGAGAGGACGACCAGCCACACGGGGACUGAGAAACGGCCCAGACGCCUACGGGAGGCAGCAGUGGGGAAUUUUGGACAAUGGGGGCAACCCUGAUCCAGCAAUGCCGCGUGAGUGAAGAAGGCCUUCGGGUUGUAAAGCUCUUUUGUCAGGGAAGAAACGGUUUUGGCUAAUAUCCAAGACUAAUGACGGUACCUGAAGAAUAAGCACCGGCUAACUACGUGCCAGCCGCCGCCGUAACAC